rnacentral:tRNA from 1 species
GGAGGGAUGGCUGAGUGGUUUAAAGCACCGGUCUUGAAAACCGGCGUGCCGCAAGGUACCGUGGGUUCGAAUCCCACUCCCUCCGCCA